UACAGAGGGUGCGAGCGUUGUUCGGAAUUAUUGGGCGUAAAGGGCGCGUAGGCGGCUUAACAAGUCACUUGUGAAAUCUCCGGGCUUAACUCGGAACGGCCAAGUGAAACUGUCAAGCUAGAGUGCAGAAGGGGCAAUCGGAAUUCUUGGUGUAGCGGUGAAAUGCGUAGAUAUCAAGAGGAACACCUGAGGUGAAGACGGGUUGCUGGGCUGACACUGACGCUGAGGCGCGAAAGCCAGGGGAGCAAACGGG
rnacentral:rRNA from 1 species